CUUGCACUGGUCAAUCUAGUGGCGAACGGGUGAGUAACACGUGGGUAACCUGCCCAUCAGAGGGGGAUAACAUUCGGAAACGGAUGCUAAAACCGCAUAGGUCUUCGAACCGCAUGGUUUGAAGAGGAAAAGAGGCGCAAGCUUCUGCUGAUGGAUGGACCCGCGGUGCAUUAGCUAGUUGGUGAGGUAACGGCUCACCAAGGCCGUGAUGCAUAGCCGACCUGAGAGGGUGAUCGGCCACAUUGGGACUGAGACACGGCCCAAACUCCUACGGGAGGCAGCAGUAGGGAAUCUUCCGCAAUGGACGCAAGUCUGACGGAGCAACGCCGCGUGAGUGAAGAAGGUUUUCGGAUCGUAAAACUCUGUUGUUAGAGAAGAACAAGUGCUAGAGUAACUGUUAGCGCCUUGACGGUAUCUAACCAGAAAGCCACGGCUAACUACGUGCCAGCAGCCGCGGUAAUACGUAGGUGGCAAGCGUUGUCCGGAUUUAUUGGGCGUAAAGCGAGCGCAGGCGGUUCCUUAAGUCUGAUGUGAAAGCCCCCGGCUCAACCGGGGAGGGUCAUUGGAAACUGGGGAACUUGAGUGCAGAAGAGGAGAGUGGAAUUCCAUGUGUAGCGGUGAAAUGCGUAGAUAUAUGGAGGAACACCAGUGGCGAAGGCGACUCUCUGGUCUGUAACUGACGCUGAGGCUCGAAAGCGUGGGUAGCAAACAGGAUUAGAUACCCUGGUAGUCCACGCCGUAAACGAUGAGUGCUAAGUGUUGGAGGGUUUCCGCCCUUCAGUGCCGCAG
rnacentral:rRNA from 1 species